rnacentral:lncRNA from 1 species
UUCAAUCUUCGCCCACAAGAAGUUCAGACGAUGAUGCUAUAAAUAGAGGCAAAGUGUUCAUUAGUUUCUUCAUCCUUAUCACAACUAACGUAAACUGCCCAUAAUGUUUUCAAGCAAGGACAAAAAAAUGGAAUUAAAUCCAUUUAUACUUAUUGUUUUGGCAAUUUUACUUGUGAUAACAUCUGAAGUUGCAGCUAGGGAUUUGGCUGAGAGCCCCACCAAUUCUAUGGACAAAGGUGAGAUUUCUUCAUUUCUAGACAAUCGACCUAUUCGCUUCCUACAUGCAAAAUAUUGUUUAGUACUCCUUUCGUCUCAUUUUAUUCGAUAGAUUUUGACUGGACAAAAAGUUUAGAAACUAAAGAAACAUUUUUUUAAAUUGAUGUUCUAACAUAAGUCAUUCUCGUAUAUGUGGUUGUAAAUCAUCUUAGUAGGAAUCGUUGGUUUGAAGACAAGUUAUGCAAGAAUUAGUUAUGUUCGAC